AUUGAACGCUGGCGGCAGGCCUAACACAUGCAAGUCGAACGAGUGGCAGACGGGUGAGUAAUGUCUGGGAAACUGCCUGAUGGAGGGGGAUCACUACUGGAAACGGUCGCUAAUACCGCAUACCAUCAGAUGUGCCCAGAUGGGAUUAGCUAGUCGGUGGGCUAAUGGCUCACCUAGGCGACGAUCCCUAGCUGGUCUGAGAGGAUGACCAGCCACACGGGAACUGUGAAACGGUCCAGACUCCUACGGGAGGCAGCAGUGGGGAAUAUUGCACAAUGGGCGCAAGCCUGAUGCAGCCAUGCCGCGUGUGUGAAGAAGGCCUUCGGGUUGUAAAGCACUUUCAGCGGGGAGGCGUUACCCGCAGAAGAAGCACCGGCUAACUCCGUGCCAGCAGCCGCGGUAAUAC
rnacentral:rRNA from 1 species